rnacentral:lncRNA from 1 species
GAAAUCAACGCUGUGGUGUUCAGCUAGAGAAAAAAAAAAAAAAAGUGAAACAUUUCUUCAACAGGAAAUCUACAGUGAGUAGCAUGAGUAACUUUCCCAGGAAGUUCUUAAAAUAUUAAACAGUUCCAUUUAAGUAUGUAGACCCUUGAGCUAAAGUUACCUUAGAGGAAAAUGUAAUGAUCCCAGAGGAGUCCCAUUUGAAAGUCAAAAAACUGAGUCCUCCCCCUCUUCCCUGUUCCCCCUUUUCAGAAAACAAGUCGGCGUAUCAUUUGGUGAAAGAGGAAGUGAAACAAAGCUUGUGUCCAGUGGCCUGGAGCGUGAUGCUCAGGGCUCCAGCAGAACCUACAAAAGUAAAACGAUGUGGUUAUAGAUUUUCANAAAUGUUAGUCUAUUUAUAACAUUUGUUUCAGAAUAUAUGUAACCAAAAUGAAUUGCUCCAACAACUCAAAAUAGCGAUUCUGAAAAAAUCGCUGUAGCUCCCUGUGGCCUAGAAAUGAGGUCAUUGUCUCCUUUUUGAAGCGCUCCCUCUCCAAUUAUUUAAGUUUGAACGCAGGUUGGCCCGGCAGCCUCAACCCCAGAGAAGAGGCAUUUGAUCCAGCGCUGUCUUUACUUCUCUCGGCCACACGGUGUCGCUGUCGGAGACAAGUUGGUUCACCUUAAAAUGCUUCCUCUCUGUGAGGAGCCCUUAGGAUGUUGGUCCCUAAAGGCGCCACGGGGGCUCUUCACAGAGGUCAGUGACCUCCCUCAGCACUCAGUUCUGCUGUGGACUCCAACAUGGCUGCCGUGUCAACCAAGUUCUUUUAGCUUCUGUGAACCGAGAGUUGGCUCCUGAAGCUCUGAGUUGAAAUAGAUUCUAUUGUUCACGGAGCUCCCUCCCAACCUUCCUUGCAGUGAUGGCCAAGGGUGAAGGUGGCCUCAUAUUUUCCACCAUCUAUCCUCCUGACUCCCAACUUCCCAAACAUAAAGGCUCUCUCAAUAUUGCCUUUCCCUAGGCAGUCUGGGCGGAGAAGGCAGUGGCACCCCACUCCAGUACUCUUGCCUGGAAAAUC